AACGAACGCUGACGGCGUGCUUAACACAUGCAAGUCGAACGAGAAAAUCCUAGCUUGCUAGGGUGAGUAAAGUGGCGCACGGGUGAGUAACACGUGAGUAAUCUGCCCCUAAGUCAGGGAUAACUCCGCGAAAGCGGGGCUAAUACCCGAUAUGCUCACGACUACUACGGUAGACGUGAGAAAAGGUGGCCUCUGGCAUAAGCUAUCGCUUGGGGAUGAGCUCGCGGACCAUUAGCUAGUUGGUAGGGUAAUGGCCUACCAAGGCUACGAUGGUUAGCUGGCCUGAGAGGGUGGCCAGCCACACUGGAACUGAGAUACGGUCCAGACUCCUACGGAAGGCAGCAGUGGGGAAUCUUGCGCAAUGGGGGAAACCCUGACGCAGCAACGCCGUGUGAGUGACGAAGGCUUUCGGGUCGUAAAGCUCUGUCAGAUGGGAAGAAUUAGUUUGCUGAAAAUAUCGGCAAAUGAUGACGGUACCAUCAAGGGAAGCACCGGCUAACUCCGUG
rnacentral:rRNA from 1 species